CAUGCUUCACGUAAGGGAGACUACUAAGUGUAUUAAGAACUCCCUGAAGCCAUUAUUCCCACAUAUAAGCUCAUUACAUCAUAUUGUAAGCCCGUGCUGAAGAGUGAUAGGAUUUUAUACUUUCUGCAGUUUCGUUCACAACAUGUGCCGAGACCCAGACCCAGACCAACCCAUUAAUAACGAAUAAUAAUGAUUCCAAGGCCUUACCGCUGUUAUUAAGGCCCCGGCAGGACUUAAUUGGGGUUUACUAAUGACAGGACACGCGAUAAAAGGGCAAAGGUGCAGUUAAAUAGAGUAAUUAAUGUUUCCGAGGUUAAACUAAAACUAUUUAUGUCACCGAUAAUAUACCUAAGCACUGCAAAAAAAGCCCUAUUAAUUAAACAUUUCGACCCUAUCUCUAAAUAAAUCUAGUUAUUGGAGCGGAAAAGACAGUUCCAGGGUCAUUUAAUUCAAGUACGAGAAUCUAUUGAGCUGGCAGGAAUCAGCUCGCAGCCGGAAAAUAGCUCGCAAAGGGGACUUUAAACAAUGCUUAAUUUUCAAUAUAUCACUCACUGCUAUCGUUUAACUGUCCCUUUGCGACUUCAAUACACUGCAAAUACAUCAGAUAAACACUUAAAAUCAGUAGAAGGCUUUAAAACAAACACAUAGGAGAUUACAUAGGAGGAACUACUCUGAGCUGAUACUCACUCCUGGUUUGGGCAAUCUCAACGCUUAUAUAUAGAUCACAGGUGGUUAAAGAGACAUAAAUCAAGGCAAAUUAAGACGUUUUUUGCUGUCUUUACCCCAUUGGACGUGGGUAGUGGGUAGUGUCGCGACUUAUUUCCCCGACGAGGUAUUUCUCGCACACACCUGGAAGCCACAAUGUCAUCCGUGAAGGGAGUCGGCUCUUAUAUUUUUGUGUUUUUUGAAGCGAAUUAUCCUGUUGCCGAGGGAGCCAUGCGUCUAGAAACGAAUUGAAUGGCUGGCGUCUCGGUCUGCCUGCCUGUGGGACACCGCACACUCUGGAAGAAGAAAGAACACCAAGAUGUCAAGUUCCUGCAUAAUCAGCCUCUUAGUGAAGGAAAUGUGCUCUAUUUAUUUAAUAAAUGAUUGACAAAAAAAUAA